CCUACGGGCGGCUGCAGUGGGGAAUAUUGGACAAUGGGGGCAACCCUGAUUCAGCCAUGCCGCGUGUGUGAAGAAGGCCCUCGGGUUGUAAAGCACUUUCAGUGAGGAAGAACGCCUGGUGGUUAAUACCCAUCAGGAAAGACAUCACUCACAGAAGAAGCACCGGCUAACUCCGUGCCAGCAGCCGCGGUAAUACGGAGGGUGCGAGCGUUAAUCGGAAUUACUGGGCGUAAAGCGCGCGUAGGUGGCUUGAUAAGCCGGUUGUGAAAGCCCCGGGCUCAACCUGGGAACGGCAUCCGGAACUGUCAAGCUAGAGUGCAGGAGAGGAAGGUAGAAUUCCCGGUGUAGCGGUGAAAUGCGUAGAGAUCGGGAGGAAUACCAGUGGCGAAGGCGGCCUUCUGGACUGACACUGACACUGAGGUGCGAAAGCGUGGGUAGCAAACAGGAUUAGAUACCCGGGUAGUC
rnacentral:rRNA from 1 species